AUUGAACGCUGGCGGCAUGCUUCACACAUGCAAGUCGAGCGGUAACAGGCCUUCGGGUGCUGACGAGUGGCGAACGGGUGAGUAAUGCAUCGGAACGUACCCAGAGGUGGGGGAUAACGCAGCGAAAGCUGUGCUAAUACCGCAUGUGAUCUGAGGAUGAAAGCGGGGGACCGAGCAGCAAUGUUUGGCCUCGCGCCUUUGGAGCGGCCGAUGUCGGAUUAGCUAGUUGGUGGGGUAAAGGCCUACCAAGGCGACGAUCCGUAGCUGGUCUAAGAGGACGACCAGCCACACUGGGACUGAGACACGGCCCAGACUCCUACGGGAGGCAGCAGUGGGGAAUUUUGGACAAUGGGCGCAAGCCUGAUCCAGCAAUGCCGCGUGCGGGAAGAAGGCCUUCGGGUUGUAAACCGCUUUUGGCAGGAACGAAACGGUGUCCGCUAAUACCGGGCGCUAAUGACGGUACCUGCAGAAUAAGCACCGGCUAACUACGUG
rnacentral:rRNA from 1 species